UGUAUGUCGUUGCAGUCAGCGUGCUGAGUACGGUUGGGUCGUGCGGUAAUGAGAACUAGUGGGAGUAAGUCGUGCGCAGGGGGUUUGUUAAUCGAGUGGUUGAAGCACGUGGCUGAACUUAGGAAUAGCAGUUCUAAUUGGCGAACUAGAGUCUUGUAGAGUGAGGUAGAAGUCCAGGUGUAGUGGGUAAAUGCGUAGAGAUCUGGAGGAAUACCUGUGGCGAAGGCGGCCCCCAGUACAAAGACUGACGCUCAUGCACGAAAGCGUUGGGAGCAAACAGGAUUAGAUACCCUAGUAGUC
rnacentral:rRNA from 1 species